rnacentral:rRNA from 1 species
UGGGGAAUAUUGGACAAUGGGCGCAAGCCUGAUCCAGCCAUGCCGCGUGGAUGAUGAAGGCCCUAGGGUUGUAAAGUCCUUUCGGCGGGGAAGAUAAUGACGGUACCCGCAGAAGAAGCCCCGGCUAACUUCGUGCCAGCAGCCGCGGUAAUACGAAGGGGGCUAGCGUUGCUCGGAAUCACUGGGCGUAAAGCGCACGUAGGCGGAUUCUUAAGUCGGUGGUGAAAUCCUGGAGCUCAACUCCAGAACUGCCUCCGAUACUGAGAGUCUUCGAGUCCGGGAGAGGUGAGUGGAACUGCGAGUGUAGAGGUGAAAUUCGUAGAUAUUCGCAAGAACACCAGUGGCGAAGGCGGCC